rnacentral:rRNA from 1 species
UAGAUACCCUAUUAUUUUGGAUUUAAAAUUUUUAAACUUGAGUAGUAUUAGAUAUGGUCUUGAAACUUAAAGAAUUUGGCGGUAUUUUAGUCUGGUUAGAGGAAUCUGUUUCAUUAUCGAUAGUCCACGUUGAACCUUACUUAAUAUAAUUUAAUAUGUAUACCGCCGUUUAUUUGAAGAUCUUUUUAGGGUAAAAUUUUCUUUAAAUUUUAUUUGAUUUUAAUUCAGGUCAAGGUGCAGUUGAUAAUUGAGUGAUAAUGGAUUACACUAUUUGUAAAAUAAACGGAUUAAAAUUUGAAAUUAUUUUAUAAAGGGGGAUUUAAUAGUAAUUAAUAAUAAGAAUUAUUUUUGUGAUUUUAGCUCUAAAAUGUGUACAGAUCGCCCGUCACUCUCGUUAUUAAGAUGAGAUAAGUC